rnacentral:rRNA from 1 species
AUUGAACGCUGGCGGCAGGCUUAACACAUGCAAGUCGAACGAGUGGCGGACGGGUGAGUAAUGAUUGGGAAACUAGCUUAUGGAGGGGGAUCACUACGGGAAACUGUAGCUAAUACCGCGUACCAUAGGAUGAGCCCCAGUGGGAUUAGGUAGUUGGGGGGGUAAAGGCUCACCAAGGCGACGAUCCCUAGAUGGUCUGAGAGGAUGACCAGCAACACUGGGACUGAGACACGGCCCAGACUCCUACGGGAGGCAGCAGUGGGGAAUAUUGCGCAAGUGGGGCAACCUGACGCAGCCAUGCCGCGUGUAUGACGAAGGCCUUCGGGUUGUAAAGUUCUUUCGGUAGCGAGGCGUUAACUACAGAAGAAGCACCGGCUAACUCCGUGCCAGCCGCCGCGGUAAUAC